AGCUCCCUGUCAAUGGGCCAAGAGACACCUUGUUGGUGGUAUUCCUAUAUUAGUCAGGGGCAGAGCAGAUGGCAAUCCUUUGUUCAUCCUAGCUUGUUGCCUGGCUUGGUGACCAAAGCUGUUUUCUGCCUAGGACACAUAA